rnacentral:rRNA from 1 species
AGAGUUUGAUCCUGGCUCAGGAUGAACGCUAGCGGGAGGCCUAACACAUGCAAGCCGAGGGGUAUGAUUCUUUCGGGGAUCGGAGACCGGCGCACGGGUGCGUAACGCGUAUGUAACUUACCCCAUUCACUGGGAUAGCCCUUCGAAAGGAGGAUUAAUACCGGAUAACACUAAAGUGGGCAUCCACAUUGGUUGAAAGAUUUAUCGGAAUGGGAUAGACAUGCGUCAGAUUAGCUAGUUGGAGAGGUAACGGCUCACCAAGGCGAUGAUCUGUAGGGGGCCUGAGAGGGUGACCCCCCACACUGGUACUGAGACACGGACCAGACUCCUACGGGAGGCAGCAGUGAGGAAUAUUGGACAAUGGGUGAGAGCCUGAUCCAGCCAUCCCGCGUGCAGGAAGACGGCCCUAUGGGUUGUAAACUGCUUUUGUAUGGGAAUAAACCACCUUACGAGUAGGGUGUUGAAGGUACCAUACGAAUAAGCACCGGCUAACUCCGUGCCAGCAGCCGCGGUAAUACGGAGGGUGCAAGCGUUAUCCGGAUUCAUUGGGUUUAAAGGGUCCGCAGGCGGGCUUGUAAGUCAGGGGUGAAAGCCGGCAGCUUAACUGUCGAACUGCCUUUGAUACUGCAAGUCUUGAGUGAGGUUGAAGUAGCUGGAAUGUGUAGUGUAGCGGUGAAAUGCUUAGAUAUUACACGGAACACCGAUAGCGAAGGCAGGUUACUAAGUCUUAACUGACGCUGAGGGACGAAAGCGUGGGGAGCGAACAGGAUUAGAUACCCUGGUAGUCCACGCCGUAAACGAUGGAUACUGUCUGUUGGGGUGUAAGCUUCAGUGGAUAAGCGAAAGUGAUAAGUAUCCCACCUGGGGAGUACGUUCGCAAGAAUGAAACUCAAAGGAAUUGACGGGGGCCCGCACAAGCAGUGGAGUAUGUGGUUUAAUUCGAAGCAACGCGAAGAACCUUACCAAGUCUUGACAUCCCUCUGAAUCCCCUAGAGAUAGGGGCGGCCUUCGGGACAGAGGAGACAGGUGGUGCAUGGUUGUCGUCAGCUCGUGUCGUGAGAUGUUGGGUUAAGUCCCGCAACGAGCGCAACCCUUGAUCUUAGUUGCCAGCACUUCGGGUGGGCACUCUAAGGUGACUGCCGGUGACAAACCGGAGGAAGGUGGGGAUGACGUCAAAUCAUCAUGCCCCUUAUGACUUGGGCUACACACGUACUACAAUGGCUGGUACAACGGGAAGCGAAGCCGCGAGGUGGAGCCAAUCCUAACAAGCCAGUCUCAGUUCGGAUUGCAGGCUGCAACUCGCCUGCAUGAAGUCGGAAUUGCUAGUAAUCGCGGAUCAGCAUGCCGCGGUGAAUACGUUCCCGGGUCUUGUACACACCGCCCGUCACACCACGAGAGUUUACAACACCCGAAGUCGGUGGGGUAACCCUUACGGGAGCCAGCCGCCGAAGGUGGGGUAGAUGAUUGGGGUGAAGUCGUAACAAGGUA